rnacentral:rRNA from 1 species
UACGGAGGGUGCGAGCGUUGUCCGGAAUCACUGGGCGUAAAGGGCGCGUAGGCGGCUCAUGAAGGCUGUGGUGAAAGUCCGGGGCUCAACCUCGGAUCGGCCGUGGCGACUCGUGGGCUGGAGCACUGUAGAGGCGGGUGGAAUUCCGGGUGUAGCGGUGGAAUGCGUAGAGAUCCGGAAGAACACCAGUGGCGAAGGCGCCCGCUGGGCAGUGGCUGACGCUGAAGCGCGACAGCGUGGGGAGCAAACGAGGAU